rnacentral:rRNA from 1 species
GACGAACGCUGGCGGCGUGCCUAAUACAUGCAAGUCGAACGCAUUUUCUUUCACCGUAGCUUGCUACACCGAAAGAAAAUGAGUGGCGAACGGGUGAGUAACACGUGGGUAACCUGCCCAUCAGCGGGGGAUAACACUUGUAAACAGGUGCUAAUACCGCAUAAUUCCAUUUACCGCAUGGUAAAUGGAUGAAAGGCGCUUUUGCGUCACUGAUGGAUGGACCCGCGGUGCAUUAGCUAGUUGGUGGGGUAACGGCCUACCAAGGCUGCGAUGCAUAGCCGACCUGAGAGGGUGAUCGGCCACACUGGGACUGAGACACGGCCCAGACUCCUACGGGAGGCAGCAGUAGGGAAUCUUCGGCAAUGGACGCAAGUCUGACCGAGCAACGCCGCGUGAGUGAAGAAGGUUUUCGGAUCGUAAAACUCUGUUGUUAGAGAAGAACAAGGAUGAGAGUGGAAAGUUCAUCCCUUGACGGUAUCUAACCAGAAAGCCACGGCUAACUACGUG